GACGAACGCUGGCGGCGUGCUUAACACAUGCAAGUCGUACGGUAAGGCCCUUUCGGGGGUACACGAGUGGCGAACGGGUGAGUAACACGUGAGUAACCUGCCCACAACUUUGGGAUAACGCUAGGAAACUGGUGCUAAUACUGGAUAUGUGCUCCUGCUGCAUGGUGGGGGUUGGAAAGCUCCGGCGGUUGUGGAUGGACUCGCGGCCUAUCAGCUUGUUGGUGGGGUAGUGGCCUACCAAGGCGGCGACGGGUAGCCGGCCUGGGAGGGUGACCGGCCACAUUGGGACUGAGAUAGGGCCCAGACUCCUACGGGAGGCAGAAGUGGGGAAUAUUGCACAAUGGGCGCAAGCCAGAUGCAGCAACGCCGCGGGCGGGAUGACGGUCUUCGGGUUGUAAACCGCUUUCAGCAGGGACGAAGCUUUUUGUGACGGUACCUGCAGAAGAAGCACCGGCUAACUACGUG
rnacentral:rRNA from 1 species